UCUAUCAUACCUCGGUUUUCACACCCUCUUUUCUAACAGAGAAGAAGAUAGAAAUCUGCUAGGUUUUUGGUAAAACUCCUGAAAUCAAAAGCUUUAUCUCUUCAUCAUUUUAUCCCAAUCGAGAUCUUCUAAGCUUUAUUUCGCUCUUUUCUUUUUCUCUCAUUAUCUCUCUUUCAAAACCUCUCUUUUUGAAUUGAUAAUAACUAUGAAAAAAUCAUAGUUGAUUUCAGCUGGAAAACCAUAAAUUAAAACCUUUUCUUUAAAACCUUGACAUCCUAAUCAAAGCCCAUUUACCAGAAUUCUAGAUCUAUCGAUUUUUUUUGGAACCCUAGAAAAUUUAUUUUGUUCCUGAUAUCGAAAGUAAACCAUCGAUCCGAUAGGUUAUUGUGCUUCUACUAACGAACAGUUGAUUGAUUCCAUCAGGUUUAUGAAUUGUUCUGUUGAAGUUUUUUUAGAUUUGAUUUGUGAAGAAUCAUUUCUUUGAAGGUUUGAGAUUUUGCUAUAUUGGAUGAAGAAGAUAGUGGUUUUAGAAUACAAUCUAAAACCAGGGAAUUGAUGAUAGGUCGGGUUUUGACGUAUUGUGCGCCAAAUUUGUUCAUCGCAGAGAGAGGUAUGAAAUACUGCAUCUAUGGGAUGAUGCUCUCAAGGCGUACAUUGUUGAAGCAUCUCGGGUAACAAGUCCCUAUGUCAGUUUGGAUGCUAUAUGGUCAAUGAUGGUCGAUUAAAAACAGCUGGUACAGCUUCUCAUAGGAGUAUUAAGAAAGAUUGGGCAUAUUGGAUGAGACAUUUUAGUAUUGAGCUUCUCAAAGAAUCCAUAUCCCCAGCUUUUCGAACUUGUGCAAGGCUUGCGCAAUCACAGGUGGUACCUGAAUUUUGUUUAAAAUUUGUUUUGUUAUUUGUGUAUCUACUUUUGGUCCUGACAAUUGAUCGCGAGCUGUUUGCAGCUGGUUUCGUGAGUUGCUGGGCUCAGCUGAAUGAAACUUGUCAGAAACAAUUAGUUUUUAGUUUAGAGAUGACAUUUUCUUCUCCAAUAGUUCUUCUGGUGAUGUAACUAUUUAUUGAUGUGCUGGAAUAGUUCUUGCAUUUCUUCUUCAGUUAUUAGAGAUUAUGGGUGUCGUGGACCUCCAUGUUCAUUACCGGAAUCAGCGAAGCUUGCCGUGGUCACCUGGACAAGUUAUCCGUGCAUCCAGUGAUACUGGCCAGCAUAUCCGAUCAACGGGGGUGCAAGGCACACAGUCUCGGAUUGACAGUGUCAAAACAUAUUGAACUUACUCAUUAUUGUAAGUUGCUAGUGGGUGCAAGAUUAGGUGCCACCCCAUUAAUGGAACUGAUGAUAGCUGCUGGAAAGGCAGAUCCACAACUGCAAUUUGAACAUGGCCUGGCUGUUGACUAAGUGUAUACGGGAUCAUUAGUGUCUUCUCUUGAAAGCGGAUGAAUCCAUAUUUAAGCUGAGUACCCAAUGUUAAUUACCUAAGUUUGCAUAAUCUAUGAGUACCCAAUGUUAAUUACCAUUCUUAUAUGCUGAUGGCUUACCUUCCUUAAGCUGUAGUUUAGACUCAGGGACACUGAAUAAAAUUGUUCUUCGCCAAUCACUUCAGGGAUUUUACUCACUCUCCGUAUCUGUGGUAUAAUCAUAAUAACUAUGUGAUGCUAGCAAUUUUAUCAAGUUUUGCGUUUUUUCAACUGCUACAGGCUGAAUAUAAGAACUGGACCUUCCCCAUCGGAGUUUCAAUUAUGUUGUCUGGACAGUAUGAAGAUGAUCUAGAUAAUUCUGAUGAUGUUAUAAUGGGAACUAAACAAAUCUCAAAUAGCUGACCAAGUAAUGAAACGUGGCAACUUGACUCUCAAGAACAAUAUAGAUCAGAAAGUUCCAGUAAGAGUCAUCCGUGUAAAGGUCUACACACGAUGGUCUUUACAAUGUUGUUGGAUCUUGGGCUGAAAAAGGUGUUUCUGUAUAUACAAUCUUCAAGUACCGUCUCAAGCGCCUUGAAGGGCAGCCAAUACUGACUGCCAACCAGGUUGGUCUGCAAAGUUAUGCGUGGGGGCCAAGAGAACAUUCCGAUUCUAGCACCUGAUUUGGUCGAGACCCCACCUGUUGCUCCGACAGGUGGACGUAUAUCACCACUGCCCAAGCUACUGCAAGCAUAAAGUUCCCUACAAUUGCAAAGGAGAUUAAGAGAUUAUGGUAAGCACGUACCAUGGAUUGUAUGGGUUUAUGGUUCAUCUAUCUAGCUACUCUGAUGAUGUAUGAAUCGUUCUUGAUGGAUUGGAUUGUGAUGAUCAAUAAUUGUUCUUGAUCGAUUGUAAUUCAGGAGCAGAAAUCUGCCGGAAUUUGUGCCGGCGGUAAUUUAUUUUUGAACUGAAAAUUAUUUUGCAACUUAUAUAAAGGUGGAAAAAUUAUCCAUUGCA